rnacentral:rRNA from 1 species
AGCGAACGCUGGCGGCAGGCCUAACACAUGCAAGUCGAACGGACCCUUCGGGGUUAGUGGCGGACGGGUGAGUAACACGUGGGAACGUGCCUUUAGGUUCGGAAUAGCUCCUGGAAACGGGUGGUAAUGCCGAAUGUGCCCUUAGGGGGAAAGAUUUAUCGCCUUUAGAGCGGCCCGCGUCUGAUUAGCUAGUUGGUGAGGUAAUGGCUCACCAAGGCUACGAUCAGUAGCUGGUCUGAGAGGGUGACCAGCCACAUUGGGACUGAGACACGGCCCAAACUCCUACGGGAGGCAGCAGUGGGGAAUCUUGCGCAAUGGGCGAAAGCCUGACGCAGCCAUGCCGCGUGGAUGAUGAAGGUCUUAGGAUUGUAAAAUCCUUUCACCGGUGAAGAUAAUGACUGUAGCCGGAGAAGAAGCCCCGGCUAACUUCGUGCCAGCCGCCGCCGUAAGAC